AAGACUAUGACGUUGAUAGGUCGGGUGUGUAAGCGUAGCGAUACGUUGAGCUAACCGAUACUAAUGAACCGUGAGGCUUAACCUU
rnacentral:rRNA from 1 species